GGAUGCUCUGCGGCCCGAUGUGUG
rnacentral:misc_RNA from 1 species